rnacentral:rRNA from 1 species
UACAGAGGUCUCAAGCGUUGUUCGGAUUCAUUGGGCGUAAAGGGUGCGUAGGUGGCGUCGUAAGUGGGGUGUGAAAUCCCCGGGCUUAACCUGGGAACUGCAUUUUAGACUGUGUGACUGGAGUACUGUAGAGGACAGUGGAAUUUCCGGUGUAGCGGUGAAAUGCGUAGAGAUCGGAAGGAACACCAGUGGCGAAGGUGACUGUCUGGACAGAUACUGACGCUGAGGCGCGAAAGCGUGGGGAGCAAACAGG